rnacentral:lncRNA from 1 species
AUUCUUGAGAAACCAGGACAACUUCGUAAAAUCCUUGUUGAUCAGUGAUUUGGCCAUAUCAUUCGUCUCCACCGUUACCUUAGAUGUUUUUUCUUAUGAUCAUCUAUUUGUUGGGUAUAACUUAACUUUGUUGGGCGAAGCUUCAGUUAAUCUCUUACUAUUUUGUUAUAUUUGUUGUUAUAUGUGAUUUAUGUUGCUAAUAAGAUAUCCGCUUCAUUUUACUGUAUUUAGGAGGAAUCGAAAAUUGGGUAUGGGUACAUGAUGUGAGAAGUGGAUGAAAAUUUGUUCCAGUGAAUGAUCAUCUUCUGAAUGCUUUAAUCUGGUCAUAUCUUCUACGAAUCUUUACAUUUCAGCUAGUUUACUUAGUAUCUACUUCUGCAGUUCUUUUAAGUUAAUUGUGUGGGUUUUACAGGGGAGAGGUUCACCUGCUUUCCUUUCAGCCAAUAAAUGUGCGGAACCGGUGGCACGCAGAGGUUUACAUACUUUUUCAUACAGCCUUGGGAUAAAACAGGUAAUUU